rnacentral:lncRNA from 1 species
GGAAUUACAAUAAAAGCCAUCUUCUAGAACCCAAAAAACAAGCAGAGACAAGCAGGGUCCCUGGAACCUGCAGGGACCUAGCCUGACAAAAAGCUUAGAGGCUAAAGCUGAGAUUCUGAUUCUCUUGAUCAAGUCAAAGUCAUGAGCAAUCAGAUAUAAGAAUCUGCAUUUAAGAGCAUGAAUUUGUCUUUAUAUUUCCUGAAUUUGAAGCCAGUUUGAUAAACAGUACUCUGCAGAGAUGUUAAAUAAUUAUGCUUCACUUAAUUCACAGUGGUAUUCUUAAUUACUUUACUUAACAGGUUGGAGCAGUGGAAGGAGGGAUGCAGAUGUAUUCAUGAGAACUGUAAUUGCCUUGGUAGAGAACUAAUAUCUAGAUUAAGUUCACCUUGCUGUUUCCCUAGGAACUGGGAACUAAAUCAAGUCUGAGCCUUGAUCAACUACUUGCUUUGGAUGAUCCAGCAGGGAACCAGCACCUGAUCACCUGACACACAUUUGAUUUCUUGCAAUAUGAGACAUAUCCUUUGAAGGUCCAAGGAAAUGUGGGGAACUCUGCCUUUCAAAAGCUUGGGCAAGAGCUGAUGGGAACCUUUGUGUCAUGCUGCACAAUGCUGAUUCUUCCUCUGCACACAGUGAAUAAAGUAAAUAUUUGCUAUCA